rnacentral:rRNA from 1 species
GUCCCAGCUGUAAACGAUGGUAACUAGAUGUGGGAGGUAUCGACCCCUUCCGUGUCGUCGCUAACGCUUUAAGUUACCCGCCUGGGGAGUACGGCCGCAAGGUUAAAACUCAAAGGAAUUGACGGGGGCCCGCACAAGCGGUGGAGCAUGUGGUUUAAUUCGACGCUACGCGAAGAACCUUACCUGGGCUCGAACGACUGGUAGUAGUCCGAUUGAAAGAUUGGGCGACCCGCAAGGGAGCCAGCCGAGGUGCUGCAUGGCUGUCGU